rnacentral:snoRNA from 1 species
CAAGUCCCUAGAGGCUUUGUAGGUAUGGCUUCUGUUUCACACGUGCACCCAUAGGUGGCAGAGCAGAGACAGGCUAUGUCUACAAUGUUUUGACUUAUGAAUUUAAGUAGCCUAACAUU